rnacentral:lncRNA from 1 species
GGUCUCUAUGGGGUCCCUACUGGGUUCCUAUUUGGGGGUCCCAUUUGGGGUCUCUAUGGGGUCCCUAUUGUGUUCCCAUUUGGGGUCUCUAUUGGGGUCCCAUUUGGGUUCUGUAUUGGGUUUCUAUUUGGGGUCUCUAUGGGGUCUCUAUUGGGGUCCCAUUUGGGGUCUCUAUUGGGGUCUCUAUGGGGUCCCUAUUGGGGUCCCAUUUGGGGUCUCCAAUAGGGUCCCAUUUGGGGUCUCUCUGAGGUCUCUAUUGGGGUCUCUAUGGGGUCCCUAUUGGGUUCCUAUUUGGGUUCCCAUUUGGGGUCUCUAUUGGGGUCUCUAUGGGGUCUCUAUGGGGUCUCUAUGGGGUCUCUAUUGGGGUCUCUAUGGGGUCCCUAUUGGGGUCCCAUUUGGGUUCUCUAUUGGGUUCCUAUUUGGGGUCUCUAUGGGGUCCCUAUUGGGUUCCCAUUUGGGGUCUCUAUGUGGUCUCUAUUGGGGUCCCACUUGAGGUUCUCUAUAGGUUCCCAUUUGGGGUCUCUAUUGGGUUCUCUAUGGGGUCUCUAUUGGGGUCUCAUAUGGAGUCCCUAUUGGGUUCCUAUUUGGGGGUCCCACUUGGGUUCUCUAUGGGGUCUCUAUGGGGUCUCUAUUGGGUUCUCUAUGGGGGUCCCAUUUGGGGUCUCUAUGGGGUCCCUAUUGGGUUCCUAUUUGGGUUCCCAUUUGAGGUCUCUAUGGGGUCUCUAUUGGGUUCCCAUUUGGGGCCUCUAUUGGGGCCUCUAUUGGGGUCUCUAUGGGGUCUCUAUUGGGGUCUCUAUGGGGGUCCCAUUUGGGGUCUCUAUUGGGGUCUCUAUGGGGUCUCUAUGUGUUCUCUACCCCCCCCCCCAAACUCACCACCACAUUGGCGCUGCUGCCGCCGUUGUCCCCCCCCUGUUCUCUCCCAUCUCCGUCCUGUCCCCCCCCCUCAGCUCCUCCCCCCUCGUUGCCCCCCGCCUCAAUUCCAUCUUGGGGGGGUGGGGGGGGGGCGACACGGGGCUGAUGAUGGAGCAGCUUUGGGAUGAGCUGGCGGUACUGCGGGGUCCUCCGGCCGAUAGGGGGCGCUGUAGGAUUUUGUUCCAUUGACCCACGUCGUUUAAGGGGUCGGGGCAUUUGGGUCAGAACCCGAACCACCUCCUGGUACUCGGGAACUUCCCGAACCUCCGGUGGGAGGAGGGGUUGUAACCGAGUUGGACUCAAUGGACGAUCAAUGGAAUCCGGUUCGGAACCGAUGGAUCCAAUCGAUCCCGUCCCGGUUCCUAUUAAAGACGUUGGGAUUAAAUCCGGUUCCGAUUCGGGUUCCGGAUCCGAUGUGGUACGAGAUGGGGGAGGGUCCGAAAUGGGAUCCGGGAAUAUGGGGCGGCAUUGGGCUGAAUGGGAAACGGGGGGGGGUUAAUAAAGGGGGGGGAGACCCCA